UCUUUUUUUAAUUGGCUUAUCCAUACUUCUUUUGAAUGCUGAGCUUUACAGGUUCCUGAUGCAAAAACCUGUUUCUUGUUCGUGUAACAGUGGGUAAACUUGAAGUGCCCCAAGUCAAGAUAAAUUUCAGGAAAGAGAAAACAGAAGCAGCAAACUGAAUGGUGUCUCUUAGGUGCAUGGAAUUUGCUUGAACCAGCAAGCUGAGUACUUCACACGGGGGAUGCUCUUCUUUCAAGAAUGUUUUGGAAUCUUUUCCAUCAUGCAGAAGCAUGUCAUCAGAAAAGAUGAGCACUGACUGGGAACAGUUUGAAGAAAUGCCUUACCAAUGGCACUUUACAUCCAGAAAUAUACAAAGACUUCACAUACGUCAGUUCUUGCAAUAGAGCUGUGAAGCACCAAGAUUUUCCUAGCUGCACAUGAAGCAUAGCGAGGGAUGCUGGCCAACAGGAGCCCCACUAACCAUGCUGACUGCAAGUUUCUCAUAACUGGGCUGAAGGCACCCAGUCUGGCACAGGAGCAUGAGGGAUGGAAGCAGGAAGACCAGGUCUGACCAGCUGCUGCCAGGUGAUGCCCAGUGCUGUGCCACCACUGCAUCUGGUGCUGCAUAUCUACUAUUAAACUGGGGAGGAGAGUGGAGAACCAUGAAGAUGCCAUGUGGUGCCAAGCACACAGUGACUUGUAUGGCUACAGAACUGUUGAGGAAAGGCUGUGAGAACUGUUCUGCAUCCUCUUCAUUGAAGGUUUUGGCAGCUCAGGAACCAAGGCAGAGAAAGGCAGAUGGGAAGAGGAGGAACUAAUGGUGCAUAAUAAUCAUAGUGUGUG